rnacentral:lncRNA from 1 species
UAUACUGUUAUUAGUGGGAGAGAUAUUUUUACAUGUCAAUAGCGUCACUCAACUAUUUGUGUUGUUCAGGUCGUGUNNNNNNNNNNNNNNNNNGUGUAGGUUUGGCUCAGUCUCGUUGUCUUCGUCCAGCUCACCACCAUCACCGACCGCUACAGACAUUAGAUGUGAGAUCUCUCACCUUCUCUUCUUCCCCUUGCUUUGGGCACGUGGGUUCGAACCACUGCUAUUUUGGUUAUGUUGUAUGGGGGCAUAUAAUAUAUGCGUAGGUAUUUAUGUGUGGGAUUUAAGUUUGCUUCUGAGAAAAAAUUCUAUCCAAUUUAAACACUGCAUGUCUACCAUGCUUGUGGCAUGGGGGUUACUCGAGGGAGUAAGACUGUCCAGGGCAGGUUUUCAAGUUAUUGGUUGCUAGUUUGCUUAGUACCAACUCUGUUCCAUGGGGAUAUUGUACAUAAAUGUGCAAAUUUGGAUUUUAAGCAUGUUUUUUUGUAUAUCUGAUAAGUGCACACCUUUGUAACUGCUCCUCUUUGUCUGGUAUUCUAAGGCCAUUAGGCUCCUGUUUGCUUAGUCCUGAUGCAGAGCUUAGUAGCUGUUAUACACGGUUCAUUUUGUAGUGGCCUUUUAGACUGGAUAGCUGAAGAGUUCAAUAUUUACUGUAUGCGUAUUGCCAAGGCUCUUAUAGUUUCAGGAACACACGCUUCAUGCGUCCUUUUUCUGUUAACCCCUAGGAUAAAACACAUAUGUAUAUGUUGCUUUACUCCCACAGCUUCAGUGCAUCAUUAAACUGCAUGUAUCUGUGUUCUUCCAGUGGUGAGGAUAAAUAUCAUCUUUAUUUUGCAGAUUGGUAAGCUGCAGACUACUAUAUCCAUUGGUGGGAGCAAGUUGGUUCAAACACGGGAGAGUUCAUCCGACAAAAGAGCUUCUCACCGGUUGUAAAAGCAUUAAAUGGCAGGUAUGCACCGCGGGCAUGAAAGUUCUCUUUGUUUCAAACACACACAUUCUCUCACACGCACACACAUACAAAGCUUGUUAUUAGGUAUGUCUGAUAUGUAGCAUUUUUUGCUAUGUUAUUUUGAGGCUAGAUUGUGUGCGGUAACAAAUUUUAUAAAUAUCUGAAGGUAAAGACAACACAUGGAGAUGCCUCUAACCAGACCUCUCCAUAUAUCCUUUUCUAUAAACUAAGUACAAACUAUUUGUUUAUGUACUCUCAAUUAAUCUGGUUUAGUUUCAGCACAAUUAUUCUCAACCCUUCUCCUCAUAUGCAAGACAUUGAUGUGCACUUAAAAAAUUGGGACAAUUUUCGCAUGUAUGGUAAUCAAUUCGAAGUAGAUUCCUGCAGGUGCAUUAUUAUUAUUAUUAACAAGAGAUAUGCCGACGGCUAUGCCGUUGGCAUAGCCAUGCGCCAGGAAGUACCAGAAUCCGCCACAUGGUAGAGAUACGCCGAUGGCAAUGCCGUCGCGUAGCCAUGAGCCACGAAACACCAGAAACCGCCAUGUGCCCGAUCUAUGUCGACAGCCUCCCCAUUGGGUCAGCUCUGGAUAUAUGCCGAAGGCAUAACCGUCGGCAUAGGGGUGCCACGUGGCUGGCUCCAGUUAGGCGUCGCCCGUCGAUGGUGCUAUCAUCUACCGUCAUGUGGCAAAGGUUGCCGACGGUCUAUCUAUGCCGACGGCUGUGCGACAGUCGUCGACGUAGGUACCUAUGCCGACGGCAUNNNNNNNNNGGCAUUCCUAUGCCGAUGAAAGCGGCCACAUACAUCGACGUUCACAAUCCCGAUGGCCCUAUGUCGACGUUGUCCAUCGGCAUACCCCUACACCGACGUGAUAUAGACCUACGCCGACGGCCUAAGGCCGUCGGCAACGCUGGUUAUUUCGGUAGUGAUUGUAGAAAGCACACAUCUAAAAAAUGAUAAGGUCAAUCAAGGAUGUGAAGAAUCAAAUUUACUGGACAAGCAAUUCACUAACCAGGAAUUGCAUCCUAGCAAAUGCGCGAGAACAAAAGAGGGUUGCACCAGUUUAUCUUCACCACAUGAACACAUAGUUGCUAAGGUGUGUGUGUGCACGCGCAUAAAUUUCUUCUUUGUUAUCAAACAAUUUCUAUGUUUUGUAUAAGAUCAAACUGAAGAGAACCUGAUCAAUUGCAGAAAGCACAUGAUGAUCAUGAAUAAAAGAAUGGUCAUACUGAAAGUAUCAAUGCGGCCAAGCAAGGUGGUCCUCAACCAAGUGUACAGUUGAAUCGCGUCACUAAGGGC